AUGAAGUUUCUGCAGUCAAAUUUGACCAUGGAAGAGAUACAAGAUAAGGAAUCUAAGCUGAGAAAAGAGGUAGGAGAUGAAAAGAAACAUAUGAAUCUGGUCUUCCAGCAUAACUUGAAAAGUAUCCUAAUUUCUUUAUCAUUUUAUGGUUGAUGAGAUGGAAAAGAAACUAAUUAAAUUGUGGAAAGGUGUUACUCUUGUAAGUCCAGAAGAUAGAUUAGCCAUUGAGGGGUUGUAUUCGAAAGCUUUAAAUCAGAGGAGAAGGCGAAAAAGGAUGUUCAGAGAUGUAUGGGAUGCCAUAACUGAGAACUCACCCAAAAAUCCAAAAGAGUUUAAGGAGGAACAUGGCGUUGAAUAUGAUGAGGAUGUUGGCGUGAACUUUCAGUCUUUUGCUGACCUGAUCCAACAUGGCAAGAAACGUCGAUAGAGGCUGGUGAUUAUAUUUACAUUUUACUGCAGGGAUAUACUUGAUCAGGAGCUGCUCAUAUCUAUGGGAUCAGUGGAGUAUUCGGGUGGCAUAACAGAAGUAGCUCAAGUAACACGAUGUUCUGAUGAUG